rnacentral:rRNA from 1 species
UACGAAGGGGGCUAGCGUUGCUCGGAAUCACUGGGCGUAAAGGGUGCGUAGGCGGGUUUUAAGUCAGGGGUGAAAUCCUGGAGCUCAACUCCAGAACUGCCUUUGAUACUGAAGAUCUUGAGUCCGGGAGAGGUGAGUGGAACUGCGAGUGUAGAGGUGAAAUUCGUAGAUAUUCGCAAGAACACCAGUGGCGUAGGCGGCUCACUGGCCCGGUACUGACGCUGAGGCACGAAAGCGUGGGGAGCAAACAGG